ensembl:lncRNA
CCAGCCCCAUGACCUAGGGUUAAGUUUGGUGUACUCUGCUUUAGCAGCCAAGGUUCAGUUCCCAUGCGUGGACUUACACCACUCAUUGCCGGACAUGCUGUGGUGGUGACUCACAUACAAAAUAGAAGACUGACAUAGAUGUUAGCUCGGGGUGAAUCUUCCUCAAGGAAAAAGAGGAAGAUUGGCAAUAGUUCUUAUCUCAGAGCCAAUCUUCCUCAGCAAAAAGGAAAGAAAGAGAGGAAGAAGGGAAAGAAUGGAAGAAAGAAGGAAAGACAAGAAGGAAAGAGGGAAGGAAGGAAGCAAGGAAGGAAGGAAGGAGGGAAGAAAGAGAAAGAAAGAGAGAAAGUUAGAAAGAAAGAAAGAAAGAAAGAAAGAAAGAAAGAAAGAAAGAAAAAUAUUUACUCCUCAAUAAAUGUCACACCAUCUACCCACUUACUUAAGCCCUAAACCAGGAAGUCAUCCUUGAUUCUUCUUUUCCUUCCCUCUGACAUCCAGUCCAUCAGCAGUCCAUAUCAGCUCUACCUCCCAAUCUUUCUUGAGUCUCUCCACUUCUCCCCAUCCUCUGCCACCAUCCUUCUCUCACUGAACCUAUUGCAAGAACCCCUCAAGUGGAAUCCCUUUUACUACUCUUUCCCUCCUAUCAACCAUUCUCCAGACCGGAUCUACUCUAAAGUGGUCGUUAAGAAUGUAAAUCACGUGAUAUCACUUUGCUAAGAACCAUCUGGCAGCUUCCUGUUGCACUCAGACUAUGUCCAAUCUCCCUACCGUCCCUGCGAAGCCUUCCCUGCUCCGUCUCCUGUCUUCAGAUCUCUGCUUCGCUCCUUCCGCCCCAGCCGCAGCGCUCCUUCUGUCCCACAUGCGGGCCAAGAUCAUUUCUGCACUGGGAACUUGGCUCAUGCUCUUUCCUCUGCCUGGAAUAAUUCAUUCUGUCCGGUUGUCAUUUAGGACUCACCUUAAUUGUCAUCCACUCAUAGGGGACUUUGUUGAUGAACGACCCACACCCCCAGAUCUCCACGAAACCACCACUAUUCUAUUACAUUAUCCUAAGUGUCAGUCAGGGUUCUUGCUUACAAGCAAGAGAAACCAGCUGACUAAUCGAAUAUGUAUAUGUUAGAGCGUAGCAGGUGACCCCCAGAGCUUUGAGGGGUCCAGACGGCCAGGCUUUGAGACCACUCAUCCAGGAGCCACACCCUGAGUCACACCACCAGAGCUCGUCCAGCAGAAGCUGGUCUGUUAAUCCUGGCCAAGACAUCACAGCUCAAACCACAGUACCACUGACCCUGGACACUUUCUCUGCCUCAGAACUGCUGCCACCACUGCCUCAGGCAACUACAGGUUCCCAGACUGUCAAAGACCCCAGCUCAUCCUGCACGUUGCAAAGGACCGUGGGGGGAUCUGUGCAGCUGCAACUGACCUCCUCCUCGUCUCCUGACAUCCGAGAGAUUGAGUGGAUUCGGGAUUCUGGUGAUGAGAGAGAUUUGUUUCUGGUGUCCUGGAAACCUAAUACCUCUAAUCCUGAAUGGUACGGGCUUGAAGAAAAAUACAAGCACAGAUUCAGCCUAACAGAGCUGGCGUUCUUGAUCAUCAGAAAUCUCAGUAUGCAAAUAAGUGAACUGUAUACAGUGAAAAUCAAGUUCCGGUCAGGAAAAUCCCAGGAGGAAGCCUUCAGGCUCUGUUUAUAUGGACUAAGUACUCAUCACAGCAUUAGGCCCUCGACCAACUGAUGCCGUCAUUCCAGCCUUGUUCCAGCCAAACGCAUUGCUCCUCAAAUACAGCCUCUCUCUCCCUCAUGGCUUUCAGAACUGCCACAGCCUACGAAAACGAUUUUCUGAUCCAUAUUAAAUGAAUAUUUCCAUUUUGAAGUCUCAAAG